AGCGUAGACGGACUGGCAAGUCUGAUGUGAAAGGCGGGGGCUCAACCCCUGGACUGCAUUGGAAACUGUUAGUCUUGAGUGCCGGAGAGGUAAGCGGAAUUCCUAGUGUAGCGGUGAAAUGCGUAGAUAUUAGGAGGAACACCAGUGGCGAAGGCGGCUCACUGGGCCAUUACUGACGCUGAGGCACGAAAGCGUGGGGAGCAAACA
rnacentral:rRNA from 1 species